AAUAUAAUAUAAUAUAAUAUAAUAUAAAAUAAAAUAAAAUAAAAUAAAAUAAAUGCCCUACAAUGCUCCAGAGUGUACUGUUUAUCAGUUUAGGGCUUCUUGCGGCGUCAGUCCCGCGAGCAUCAUACGAGAGUUUCAGCGACUUUACUACACAGAAGACGCCGGAAAUACUGUUUUCAAAUCAAGAUUCUCCCAAAAUAUUCUCCGGACGUUCAUUUUCAAAAGCUGAAAAUGUCCCUGAGCCUAACAAUGGCGGUCUGGUUGUGAAGUGUGAGGAGCAAAACUGGAGAAUUGUGGUGAAAAGGCAGUACUUUGGACGCGGUGUUUCUCUUCCCACAUCAGUUCGGCUGGGUGAAGAUGGCGCCGCUGGAGACUGCACUCCUCUGAAAGACUUCACUACUUCUACCGAGAUGGUCAUUUCUGCUGGAUUACAAGACUGUGGAAGUGAAUCUCGGGUAAGUGGCAACUGGCUCAUUUAUUCCAAUAAGCUGGUAUUUUCGCCUGGUACGCCGCUAACCUGGGAUGGUGUCCUUGUAUUGAAACAUCCACCUACAGUCGUUCCUAUUGAAUGCCGUUAUAAAAGAAAGUUUCGAGUGAGUGCAGAACCACUGAGCCCCACCUGGCUGCCCAUGACCUCAACCAUUGAAGCAGUAGGGUUACUGCACUUCUCUCUCAGUGUAAUUAAAGGUGAUGUAGGCUCCCUUCGUCCGUCCACAAUAUUCCAGCAGGGAGAGCCAUUGUUCCUGGAAGCAGCAGUGCAUGGUCCUAUGCACCGUCCACUACGAAUCUAUGUGGACCACUGUGUGGCUACUGUUGAUUCUUACCCAUUAUCAAGGCCUAGCUAUGAGUUCAUAUCCAACCAUGGGUGCCUGAUAGAUAGCAUGUGGCCAUACUCAUCCUCUAAGUUUUACAGCAGGCCAAAGCAGAAUAUUCUCAGGUUCAGUGUACAGGCACUCUACUUCCCUCAAGAUCUGAGAAAACAGAUUUUCAUCAGUUGCCACUUGAGAGCUGCUCCUGAUUACACUCUGCCUGACUCCCAAAACAAAGCUUGCUAUUUUCAUGGACCUUCAUUCAGUUGGCAUGCAGUAGAGGGGAGCAGCAAUGUGUGUCUGUGUUGUGAAACUGCAGACUGCAAGUCUGGGAAGGUGGACAUGUCCGGCACAUAUCUAGAAUCCUUAACUUGUCUCUUAAAGAGGAGCAGACCAGAUUUGUUGGCCCACUUCACAUUCUGCCCUCAAACGUACACUGGACUGGAAAACUUACCAUAGGGACAUGAGUCUCACCUGAGCCCUUCAUCUAAGAUAAACACAUCUGCCAAAAGAAAUGAAGUGUUUUGAAGAAUCUGUAUCUCUUCCCAGUGCAGUGUCAUAAUUCAAAAUAUCCCCAUAUGGCUGCUAUCAGCAGAGAAAUGAAGAAAAAAUACCUUGUUGUGUGUCACGUAUGCAAGUCAUGUUUACACAGUGUUCGUCAUAUGCACUGGAGCUGUGAAGAAAAUUUGCUCUUUCUGUAUGCUCAAACAGUUUGGAUUAAAGAGAUUUGACAAAUGUGAGAUAAAUGUAUAGACUGUCUUCUUGCUUAUGUGUGUUUUCAUGGUACUGAGGAAUGUUUUUCUGUGCCUUAUUUUUUCCUAAAGCAAAUAUUUGCUAGUGUUUGGUUGUCAGCCCCCUACACAUUAAACUGCAUUAAACCUUUAGCCCAGUUUUGUGUGUUCCACAGUCAGUAGUGAUUACUGAUAGCUCUCCUCUCCUACAGAUAUUAAGGAAUUAAAUUAUACAUGAAAACCAGAUAUUUCAGGCCUUUGAUUUAUCAUG